CGGGACACGUGGUAUCCUGUCUGAAUAUGGGGGGACCAUCCUCCAAGGCUAAAUACUCCUGACUGACCGAUAGUGAACCAGUACCGUGAGGGAAAGGCGAAAAGAACCCCGGCGAGGGGAGUGAAAAAGAACCUGAAACCGUGUACGUACAAGCAGUGGGAGCACAGAGCAAUCUGUGUGACUGCGUACCUUUUGUAUAAUGGGUCAGCGACUUAUAUUCUGUAGCAAGGUUAACCGAAUAGGGGAGCCGAAGGGAAACCGAGUCUUAACUGGGCGUUAAGUUGCAGGGUAUAGACCCGAAACCCGGUGAUCUAGCCAUGGGCAGGUUGAAGGUUGGGUAACACUAACUGGAGGACCGAACCGACUAAUGUUGAAAAAUUAGCGGAUGACUUGUGGCUGGGGGUGAAAGGCCAAUCAAACCGGGAGAUAGCUGGUUCUCCCCGAAAGCUAUUUAGGUAGCGCCUCGUGAAUUCAUCUCCGGGGGUAGAGCACUGUUUCGGCAAGGGGGUCAUCCCGACUUACCAACCCGAUGCAAACUGCGAAUACCGGAGAAUGUUAUCACGGGAGACACACGGCGGGUGCUAACGUCCGUCGUGAAGAGGGAAACAACCCAGACCGCCAGCUAAGGUCCCAAAGUCAUGGUUAAGUGGGAAACGAUGUGGGAAGGCCCAGACAGCCAGGAUGUUGGCUUAGAAGCAGCCAUCAUUUAAAGAAAGCGUAAUAGCUCACUGGUCGAGUCGGCCUGCGCGGAAGAUGUAACGGGGCUAAACCAUGCACCGAAGCUGCGGCAGCGACGCUUAUGCGUUGUUGGGUAGGGGAGCGUUCUGUAAGCCUGUGAAGGUGUACUGUGAGGUAUGCUGGAGGUAUCAGAAGUGCGAAUGCUGACAUAAGUAACGAUAAAGCGGGUGAAAAGCCCGCUCGCCGGAAGACCAAGGGUUCCUGUCCAACGUUAAUCGGGGCAGGGUGAGUCGACCCCUAAGGCGAGGCCGAAAGGCGUAGUCGAUGGGAAACAGGUUAAUAUUCCUGUACUUGGUGUUACUGCGAAGGGGGGACGGAGAAGGCUAUGUUGGCCGGGCGACGGUUGUCCCGGUUUAAGCGUGUAGGCUGGUUUUCCAGGCAAAUCCGGAAAAUCAAGGCUGAGGCGUGAUGACGAGGCACUACGGUGCUGAAGCAACAAAUGCCCUGCUUCCAGGAAAAGCCUCUAAGCAUCAGGUAACAUCAAAUCGUACCCCAAACCGACACAGGUGGUCAGGUAGAGAAUACCAAGGCGCUUGAGAGAACUCGGGUGAAGGAACUAGGCAAAAUGGUGCCGUAACUUCGGGAGAAGGCACGCUGAUAUGUAGGUGAAGCGACUUGCUCGUGGAGCUGAAAUCAGUCGAAGAUACCAGCUGGCUGCAACUGUUUAUUAAAAACACAGCACUGUGCAAACACGAAAGUGGACGUAUACGGUGUGACGCCUGCCCGGUGCCGGAAGGUUAAUUGAUGGGGUCAGCGCAAGCGAAGCUCUUGAUCGAAGCCCCGGUAAACGGCGGCCGUAACUAUAACGGUCCUAAGGUAGCGAAAUUCCUUGUCGGGUAAGUUCCGACCUGCACGAAUGGCGUAAUGAUGGCCAGGCUGUCUCCACCCGAGACUCAGUGAAAUUGAACUCGCUGUGAAGAUGCAGUGUACCCGCGGCAAGACGGAAAGACCCCGUGAACCUUUACUAUAGCUUGACACUGAACAUUGAGCCUUGAUGUGUAGGAUAGGUGGGAGGCUUUGAAGUGUGGACGCCAGUCUGCAUGGAGCCGACCUUGAAAUACCACCCUU
rnacentral:rRNA from 1 species